CCGUUGCUACACGCUAACAGACACUUUAAGUCAUUAAUUGAAGCAGUCAGUCUACCAAACAGAAACAAAAUGAGGGAAAUUGUGCAUCUCCAGGCCGGCCAGUGCGGAAACCAGAUUGGUGCCAAGUUUUGGGAGGUGAUCAGUGAUGAGCACGGCCUUGACCCAACUGGCACACACCACGGUGACAGUGACCUGCAGCUUGACAGGAUCAAUGUCUACUACAAUGAAGCCACAGAUCAAAGAAGGUGAAGAGAGACAGGCUGAGAGCAGCGAGAGACAGGUUUCAGAUGAGCAGGUAGGAAUGGU